rnacentral:rRNA from 1 species
AGAGUUUGAUCCUGGCUCAGAGCGAACGCUGGCGGCAGGCCUAAUACAUGCAAGUCGAACGGAUCCUUCGGGAUUAGUGGCGGACGGGUGAGUAACACGUGGGAACGUGCCCUUUGGUUCGGAACAACUCAGGGAAACUUGAGCUAAUACCGGAUGAGCCCUUCGGGGGAAAGAUUUAUCGCCAUUGGAGCGGCCCGCGCCUGAUUAGCUAGUUGGUGGGGUAAUGGCCUACCAAGGCUACGAUCAGUAGCUGGUCUGAGAGGAUGAUCAGCCACACUGGGACUGAGACACGGCCCAGACUCCUACGGGAGGCAGCAGUAGGGAAUCUUGCGCGAAUGGGCGAAAGCCUGACGCUGCCAUGCCGCGUGAAUGAUGAAAGGUUCUUAGGAUUGUAAAAAAUUCUUCAGCGGG